rnacentral:tRNA from 1 species
GCCUGACUGGCUCAGUCGGUGGAGCACGUGACUAUUGAUCUUGGGGUUGUGAGUUCAAACCCCACUUUGGGUG